rnacentral:misc_RNA from 1 species
AACUUUUGGCAACGUAUCACUUGUCUCUCGCAUCGAUGAAGAACGCAGCGAAAUGCGAUAAGUAAUGUGAAUUGCAGAAUUCAGUGAAUCAUCGAAUCUUAGAACGCACCUUGCGCCCUUUGGCUAUUCUAAAGGGCAUGCCUGUUUGAGUAUCAUGAACACCUCAACUCUCAUGGUCCGCCAUGAUGAGCUUGGACUUUGGGGGUCUUGCCGGCCUAGCGUCGGCUCCUCUCAAAUUCAUCAGCUUGCCAGUGUUUGGUGGCAUCACGGGUGUGAUAACUAUCUACGCUUGUGGUUUUCCGCCAUGUAACCUUCAGCGAUGGAGGUUCGCUGGAGCUCACAGAUGUCUCUCCUCGGCGAGGACAGCUUUUUGAACGUUUGAUCUCAAAUCAGGUAGGCCUACCCGCUGAACUUAAGCAUAUCAAUAAGCGGAGGCU